GGGGAUGGUUGUCAUAGCAACAGAGGCCACCAGGAACCAUGGCAAGCAUCUCCUCCUCCUGUUCUCCUGAAUCACUCUCUCUCUCUGGGGAAGGCUCCAAGAUCCCCCCUCAGCCAUAGGAGGAUCCUGCCAGUGGUCACGCCCUGUGGGGGGUGCUCCUCACACUCUGGGCUUCUUUACCAACCUUCCUACAGCUCAGGAAGACUAUUCAGUCCUCGGUUACUGAGGACAGAAGACAGCAAUGAGACAGCUUCACCGGUCCAGACCAGACACUCCUUUGGAAAUAUUUUGCCUUUCUUCCUUGCCUGUUACUGCCCCUGACAACCUCAGGGAUGUAAAACAUGCAUCAGGGUGUAGCUGAGACAUGGUGCUUGACUCUGUUUACCGGGAAAAAUUUGUAGUGUUUUUCUCUGCACGCCGUCAUAGGAGCCCAAAAUUCUACCCCUGAGUACUCACUCUUCCUUCUCUUAGGAAGAGUGAUUUUUUUUUGAAAUAUUCAUCAUGUUCUGAUCAAUUUGAACAGAUCAGGGUAUCUGUAAAAGACAAUGCCUGACAGCAAAUGAAUUGAAGCUCUUUUAAUUGGAAUGAAGUUCCCUUGUGAGGGUUUAAUUUUUUUAUUGACAUUUCCAGGAAUCCAUCCCAGAUAAUUCGAGACUUCCUUGUGAAAUGACAGCCUCUCCUAUCUUUUCAGACUAGAAAUGAUUCCUAUUUUGGGGUGAUAUGAAAGCCUUUCUUAACUUAGACUGUUCCAGCCAUCUUGAAUGCUGUUCUGGAGUUCCAUUACUCUCUGGCCCAGUGUUACUUAUAUAUUCUCAGUCGUGUUUGGGACAGAAGGAAGAGGUUUCUGUUGAGUAAAGAAUCCAGGGUCCACGGAAUUGGGUUCUGACGCCAGCCGCACCCGCUCCCGUUUCUCAUUGUCUGGGGAUCUAUCUUAGUCCGCCAGGGUCCUUAAUGAGCUUCCGUGGGCUCCUCUGUAAACGGCACCUGGAGACCGUAUCCUUUUCUUCAAUCGUGGUGGUGAUUGAGUGAGGGAAUCCAAAGCUCCUACCUCUCUGAUCAGGCAUCACCUGUGUCACGCAAUGAUGGUGGGCAGGAGCCCAUCCUACCUGCCCCACAGGAUUAAAGAUGUCUGGGAGCAGCGGUUAGUAACUCCUCAUUCUCUCGCCCCACUCAUGAGCUCGUGGCAACACCAGACAUGGCUGACACUAAAAAGAAUCUUCCGUGAAAUUAUAUUAGCUUCAUUAGUUCAAGCGAUUUCUUUCUUCCUCAGUUGAGAGAAGAAAGGAGGAAAGAGAGAGCGGCGGGUAAUUCAAUCUUGGGACGCUUUAGCUAGGAAGGCUGGGUUCACUGCAGCUCAGAACUUGAAGGUCCAGGUUGAUGAGAUGGCUCAGAAGGCAGGAGCCUGUCCACCUGAGCUCACCCUUGCAACAGACUCCGGAAGGACACCCUCUGACCUCCACAGGCUGCCACACACACGCUAGAAUAACUAAGGCAGGGAAACCUCAAGGUUCUGAUGGAUUUCUAAGAAGUGGCUCGAUAAUAUGAUCUGCACAGCACCUCUCUUCAGAUGGCUUGAACCAGUUAGCCUGGUCCCUCAGCUUUGUUUCCAUGUAGACAUUUUCAAGUCUUCAGCGUUCCCAGCCUGAACAUUUAAAACGCCCAGAGUUCCUGGGCCAGAAACUCGGAGCCAUCAACAGGACACCACCACUUGGCACUGCUACAUAAAACAGAACACUCUCCUCGUGGUUACUGUGAAGGAAGUUCACUGAGGACUUGCAUAUCUAUAUAGGGGAGAACUGACCAAUGGUUUAAAUCAGAGCCCCGUGGAGCCUGCAGGAACAUGCUAACUAAAAAGGUAUUGAUGGAUGACAGAGUCAGAAGGAUUCGUUCCUCAGUUAAUUUCUCUAAGCUUUGCUGGGCGUUUUCUCCUGGCGCCACAGGGUCAAAUGCGCCUGCUUUCUCGCUUCGGAUGCCAGUUGCUCAGUCCCAGCUGACUUUUAGAAAAGCAAUACAUAGCGUUGGAGAGAUGUGCACCCGGAAGAUUGCGUUAUGGACUGCUCAUCCGAUAUGGACUGCUCAUCCGAUAUGCAAAUUAGCUGGGCAUCUCGCCUUCCUAUUGGCUAUAGCUGCCUAUCCCGAGAGGGUCUGACUCCUCUGGACUUGCAGGAGACAAUCCAGGUGAAGUAGCUAGCUGAGCUAACUCAUUUUCCUGGGAAAGAAUCAUUUCCCCUUUGUAUAAAUAAUGUAGAACUUCAGAGAUAAAGUGUGUGAGGCUUGGAGAAGGUGAAACGGAGACUCCACAAUCUAUCGCACUUUCUCCCUGGCCCUAGUUCAUUAGCGAAAUCUAGUGACUUAAAUUACCCAGCUAACCUCUUCCGCCACUGUUAGAUUAUAAAUCGAGUAGGUGGCUACCACCGAAGGAGUUGUAGGGCUUUGAGGAAGGUUCUCAUCAAGCUAAGAGGGGUAGAAAAUUUCCUAUUACCAUGUCGUGCAUAAAUGGAAAUGCUCAAAGCCUCACUUACAGCGCAUUUCCUCCGUGCAAUUCACUUGCUAAAAUCAAAGAAACAAAAUGGGAACAAAUUCACCACUUUGCAUAAUGGAGGAACACACAAAAAAAGGAAAAAAAUAGUAGGGACUCUGUUCAAACAAAGACCACAGGUAACCAGGUAACCAGAGAGAGACAGACAGUAUCGUUCCAGCAAGGGAACUGAAGUAUAGGUGCUUUGCUGUCUGUCUUUCUCCCUUUAUUUUUGUCUGUCUCCAUGACUUUAUUUCGUGUGAAAUUUUGAGAGAUGAAUUCCAUUUUCUGUUAAUUCAAUUGUUGUCACGCUGCAUUUCAUCAUGUGCCUCGGAUCAUCACAAUGAGAUGUUAGGUAUAAAUGAAGUGUUAUUGAGUCUCUCUUAA